rnacentral:rRNA from 1 species
UACAGAGGUCUCAAGCGUUGUUCGGAUUCAUUGGGUCGUUAAAGGGCGCGAGUAGGCGGCGGGGUAAGGUCUGGUGUGAAAUCUCGGAGCUCAACUCCGAAAUUGCACUGGAUACUGCUCUGCUUGAGGUUGGAGGAGGAGAGUCGGAAUUCGACGGUGUAGCAGUGAAAUGACGUAGAUAUCGUGAGGAAGACCAGUGGCGA